rnacentral:lncRNA from 1 species
GUGAGAGGAUAUAAGACUUGAUUUUAUAUGUGUACUAGAAUUUUGAGAUCAAUCGAACGGUGUAAAGGAGAGAUAUUGGCUCUGGAAGAUUGGCAUCAAGAUUGGAGAAGGAGGCAAGCCAAUACCCGAGCACAUUUUUGAGGUUAUCGUCAAUUUGGUAACUUAAAUCCUUUUCAAUUUUUUUGUGCUUAUUUUGAACUUAGUUUUUAAGAAGUGUACAAAAUUUGAGUUAAGAUCAACGGUUUAUUCAUUAGUUAUUGAGGUUUAAAUCUGUUAUAGGAAUUACUAGGGUUUGGUUUAGGGUUUGGUUAGGAUUUGGUUUAGGAUUUGGUUUAAGAUUCGAUUAGGGUUUGGAUUAGGGUUUGAUUUAAGGCUUAGGAUUUAGAAUUUGGAUUAGGAUUUGUUUUAGGAUUACGAUUUGGUUAGGGUUUGGUUUAGGAUUUAGUUAGGGUUUUAUUUAGGAUUUAGAAUUUUAUUAAGAUUUAAGAUUUAAUUAGUUUUGGCCUAAAGUUUUAAUGAAGUUCAAUAGGAUUUUAAUUAGAAUUAAAUUAAGAUUGAAUUGAGAUAUAUUUGAGUGAUAUUUGUGAUCCUUUUAAUAUUUCUUUAAGAAUUCUUAUUGUUUGUUUGAAAUUUCUUUGAGAUUUUUUUGAAUUUGAUUAUACUUGCUUAGCAUUAUUAUCGUCUAAUUAGAGCAUUGUUAGUAUUCUAAUAGAAUUAGGAUUUUGUUAUUGCAAUUU